rnacentral:tRNA from 1 species
ACCAGCGUGGCACAGUGGUUUUUGAGUGUUGGACUACGACUCUGGAAACCAGGGUUCGAUUCCCAGCUCGGUCA